rnacentral:rRNA from 1 species
CCUACGGGAGGCAGCAGUGGGGAAUAUUGCGCAAUGGGCGAAAGCCUGACGCAGCGACGCCGCGUGAGGGAUGAAGGUCUUCGGAUCGUAAACCUCUGUCAGCAGGGAAGAACGGUCCCUGUGCUAAUCAGCAGUGAAUUGACGGUACCUUCAAAGGAAGCACCGGCUAACUCCGUGCCCGCAGCCGCGGUAAGACGGAGGGUGGGAGCGUUAAUCGGAUUUACUGGGCGUAAGGCGAUCGUAGGCGGUAUGUCAAGUCAAGGGUGAACUCCCCGCGCUCAACGGGGGAACUGCCUUUGAAACUGGCAAACUUGAGUGUGUGAGAGGAUAGUGGAAUUCCAGGUGUAGGAGUGAAAUCCGUAGAUAUCUGGAGGAACAUCAGUGGCGAAGGCGACUAUCUGGAACAUAACUGACGCUGAGGAGCGAAAGCGUGGGUAGCAAACAGGAUUAGAUACCCGAGUAGUC